rnacentral:rRNA from 1 species
UCCGUAGGGGGCAAGCGUUAAUCGGAAUUACUGGGCGUAAAGCGUGCGCAGGCGGUUCCAUAAGACAGAUGUGAAAGACCCGGGCUCAACCUGGGAACUGCAUUUGUGACUGUGGGGCUAGAGUGCGGUAGAGGGGGAUGGAAUUCCGCGUGUAGCAGUGAAAUGCGUAGAUAUGCGGAGGAACACCAAUGGCGAAGGCAAUCCCCUGGACCUGUACUGACGCUCAUGCACGAAAGCGUGGGGAGAAAACAGG